GAUCCUGUUUGGGAACGGGACCAAGAUGAAUGUUGAGGGAGGUGAAUUAUCCACGCUUGUCUGGCUCUCGAUCAUACGGACUGGAGUUCUCUGUUGCACGUUGCCCAUAUUUGUCCUCAUCUAUUGCAAAAAGGCAUAAAUAAUGAUGAUAUUAUGGGAUUCAUACCAUUAAAUCAGCUAAUCAUAUUCAUAUUAAUACCUCCUUCUGGGUAUUCUUUUUCUCCUUCUUCUUCUUAUAAUGACUUUUUUCCAGAACACAAUCCCUGUUUACAAAUUACCCUGGUGUAUGAAUCCUAAUUUUGGCAUAAUAGCAUAUGACAGCUGAUGUUACUCAAACAGUGUAAUGCAAUUAAAAUGAAUUUCAAUCAUUUGAAA